rnacentral:lncRNA from 1 species
UUUCACUUUCAUUUUUUAACAAAAACAGAGAGAGAGUCUCUAAGAUUCUCUCAACACUCUCAGCCCUCAGAAUUUGGCGAGGACCCAGUCACCGGAGCACCAGCGGCCGCCGCCGUGCACGGCGGUAGGACGCCCAAAGUUCGUCGCCUUUCGGUGAUUUCAAAGGUACACCUCUUUUUCUUAUUUUAUUUUCGUGUUAAAAAGAAACAAAACAUAAUAAAUAAAUAAAAAAUGGAAAAGAACAAUCGGGGAAGACUAAAAAACAACUCUCAAACUUUCGUUUUCUGUUUGUUUUUUUUAUUUUCGUUUUUAAAAAAUUAAAAAAAAACAACAAUGAAAGUAAAGAAAAAGGAAAGAUUCAAGCAAAAAAACUAGGAAAUCACCUUAGUUUUUUUUUUCUUAGUGUUCGUAAAGAAAAGAAGAAGAGCCAUACAAGGAAGAGAUUUUCGGCUUUUAUAGCCGAUCUACACAACUUUUAAUUUCUAUUUCUUUGUGUUUUUGCUAUUUGUUUCUUCCGUUGUUGCGUGCCUUUUGCAUUCAAUUUUUGCAGGUGUCAGAGCAUACGGAGGAAAGGCGGCUAGGAGCGGCGGUAGCCAGGCAUGGCAGAGGAGGCGAAACGGCGUUGAGGCUGGAGCCUGGGCAUGCGGGGCAUGCGGCGCAUGGAGGCUUGGGGGCUAGGGUUUGGUACUGCUGAAUGGGGUUAAUUUUUGGGCUAGGGUUUCUUAAUUUGGGCCUGUUGGGUAUUUUGGGCCACUGUUUAUUUUGGACUGUGUGUUUUUUUGCUGGUAUUGGGCUUUAGUGUUUUGGGCCCCGGGCAAAAUUUGGGUUUUACAUGAGUAGUUUGAUAUUCUGAUUCAAUCUUGUUCCGAAGAGCUUCAGUAGAGAUCUCGUCCAGGAGGUCCUCGGCAUCAUAAACAGCAUCUUUGAGCUCAUCGGUCCAACUUUUGACAUUUGGGUUGGCAAUCUGCUUAUUUUCAGCAUCAUCCAACACUGCUUUCACCGACAUCAAGGUUGGCUUGAGUUUCUUCAGUAGCACAACUUCAAGUUUCUUUCCUUUGAUAAGCCUCAGAACAUCGGCAUAAACAAUCCUAUCAAGCAGCACCUCAAUGGAAGCAGAGAGAAAAGCUUCAGCCACCAUAGCCAUGUUUUUUUGUGGGGUUUUUUUCGGUAAAUAAAGGUUUAAAGGAAGAUGAAAAGGGAAGUAAUAACAAAGAAAGGAAAAGAAGAGUGCUUCAACUAAAGAGAAGACACGAUUGCAAAGAUGAAGGAUUUGGAUUUGAAACAGAGAAAGGAAGUGCAAAGCAAAUAGUCAACAAGGAACAGUAGAAGGAUUGGAUGAAAGGGGAAGGCUUUAACUCGCAAAUACUUUAGUUUCAAUAAAUUUGUGUAUAAAAUUUCUUUAUUGGAAUGUUUGAAAAAUGAUUUUGGGUUGAAAAGUAUGGAAAAUUAAUGUAUUACACAAAUGAUGAAAUAAUAUGGAAAACAACAUAAUAAUAUAAAAAUAUCUUGAAAUUUAUAUUUAUAAAUUAAGUAGAUUUUAUUCCUAAGAUUGCAAAAUUAACAAAUCCUUUGUAAUUUGUCUUUUUUAUUUUAAAAAAGGGGUAAAUUAAUCCUCGUACAUUAAAUUAAGAGUAAAAUAAUUAUUCUGUUAAAAUUUUUAUCCAUUUAAAUUAUUAAAAAUUGGUCCUAGUAUAUCAACAUGAGGUAUAUAUGGUAUGUCACAUGUCAUUAUUCGGUUAUUUUAUCAAUCAUAUCAAUUUUUAACAGUACAAAUGGAUAAAAUUUUUAACAAAAAAAAGGAUUAAUUUGUUCUUUGAUCUAACGUAUAAGGACUAAUUUACUCAUCUUAUAUUAAAUGGGACAAAAUAUAAUCUAACUCCUAGUAUAGAGAGCUCCAUAAUAUUUUACGGUGCAAAUUAUAUAUUAACAUAUCAAAAAAUUUAUAUAAAUAUAAAAAUACGAUACAUAUCCAUAAAUUCUUAGAUCUAAUAAUAAUAGCCAAGUAGUUUCAAAUAAAUAAAUCUUAGAAUAAAGAAAUGAGAUUAAUAUUCAUAAAACUAGAUAAAAAGAACAGUAAAGAACUGAUGCCGCCUGACUAAGUGACGGCACCCUCUUAUUUAUUUCAAACCAAAAUACAAAUUUAUUUUAAGAGGAUACGAAAUAAAACAAAAUAAUAAUAAUUUUUUAUUAGUGCGGCCCAGGCGGCAACCUAUUAUUUUUAAAAGGAAAAUUGUUUUUUGUACUCUCCUUAUGUAUAUCCAUAGGGAACUCCCAUAAGCCAUAAGCCAUUAAAUGCUUCCAUCGAGUAACCAGUUCAUGACAAAGGACACCCACCGAGGACAGUGUAGCCAUAGAGCCCCAGAGCUCCAACCCACUAUGAAAUAUCCAACGCCAGUGAAGCACCAAUCACACCCCAAUCCAACACAUUUACGAACACCCAACUCGUCAACACAUUCACCCCUAAAGCACAAAACGAGACAUAGGCUAACACCCUAGUCUUCAACUGGCUUUGCAAGAACCUUUGUAAUGGGAACUGAAACGCAAAGCUAAAGUGCAAAGGUAUCAACCAAAUCGCCACCACCCCCGACAUCUCCCCCACGUCGUCCAGCUGUCCGAAUAGCUUUAAAACCGGGGUAGCAAAUACGUAAAUGGGUAACAACAAAGGAGUAAAACGAUCCAAGAUCUUUGCAUGUAAAGGCCGAACAUGUGGUAUUGUUUAGCACCAAAAGCUUGUCCACAAAGGGUUUCUAAAGCACUCGCCAUCCCUAAUUAUAUUAAAGUGAAAAAAAAAACCUAAUGUUAAGAGACAAAUAUGGUAAAAAGAAAACUAAUGGAACAAAAAAGAAAGUCUCAUCUAAUGAAAAUUUACUAUGAGGCCAAAGUUGAAGCCAACGAUGGCCGUAUUGGCUAUUGAAAUAGCUACAAGUUGAACAUCACCAAGGUGACCAGCAAAAGCUUGGGUUAUAAUGUUCAUGGAGUAGAAGCAACAGGAGUUACAGGACUGAUGAUUGAAGGUCCUACGAUGACCCAUAGCUUCUUUGUUUCGAUCCAUAGCCUUGUACUUAAGUCCUUCUUCCCCAUCUUCAUCUCUCCAUUUAUUUUCUUCUGGUUUUGAUUCUUCAUGAUUUGAACCUGGUUCUGUUAGUAAAGGUUGAUGGUAUUCGCCACUGUUCCCAUGGAUACUAUCCAUUAGAGACAAAGUUAAAAUAAUAGACUAUGGGCUAUCUUAGAUUUGCUUGGGACAAAAAAAUUUUUAAAAAUUAAUAAUAAUAGGGUGCGCCAGGCAAGUUGCCAACCACUAAUAAAAAAAUAUUUUUUCCGAUUUAUUCCACAUUGUAAAAAUUUUGUAUUUUGGUUUAAAAUACAGAUGCUGCUAAUUGAUGAAGUUGCGUCUAAAUUUUUUUUUAGAAAUAAAGGGGUGUCACCGAUUAGUCAGCGGCACCAAUUGUUUAUUAUUGCUUAGUUUCGUGAAUAUUAAUCAUCUUAUCCUAUUUUGGUAUUUAUUUAUUUAUUUUAUAUUAUUUAUGUAAAAAAUACCCUAUAGUAUCUGAACUUGAUUAGAGGUUCAGAAACAAAAACAGCACUAGUAACCCAGAAAUACACCAAUACCCAGAUUAGAGCUGAUCUUGGCCUGGCCAGGCUGAGCUUCAAUAGAAUUUUAGGUCUAUUUUUUAGGCCUAGAUACGACUUGAAAAUGGACCUAAAAUUUUGCCUAAAUUUUCUCGAAUAAAAAUGCUAAUAUCUAAGCCUAGCCCGACCACCCGUAUUAAAAUUGUUUACAUUAUUAUUCUUAUAUAAUACAAAUUUAAAAAUAUAAUACACUAAAAACAUUAAAAUAAAUGUUCCCCAACAAAUUUAAAAUAAAUUUAAAAAAUAUGUACAUACUUAAAUAACACUAAAAUAGGUGUAAUUUAGCAAGCAAAUGCCUAUAAAAUAAUAGCAAAAUUAACAAUAAAACGAGAGUUAUACAAUAUCUAAAUAAUAACAAUAAAAUAGUAACAAUAUAAUAACGAAAUGACAACAAAACAAUGACAAAACAAGAGCAAAACAAUGGCAAAAUAGAAUUAGUUAUUUUUUUGCAAAUUUAGGCCAGGCAAAAAAAAAAAUUACCCAAAACCUAACUCAUUUAGAAAACAAGCCUCAUUUUUUGCUCAAGCUCAUUUUGUGGAUCUGUAUUUUUACUCAAAAUUUCCCACCUUUUAUACGAGCCUUUGUGCUGGCCAAAUGACCCAACUCAUAAUCAGAUCUAAGACCAAGUGAUACUAUAUAUAUAUAUAUAUAAAACAAACCAACUUUAGCAAAUGUAGGUCAGAUAUUUUAGCACAUUAUAAGAAAAUUUGCCUUUUAAGGCAAUGUUUAAAACAUAAAGUUUACUAUUGAAAUUGAAACAUAUUUAAAUAAAAACUAUUGUUUUAUAAAUAAAAGUAUCAUGAAAAUCAAUUAAAAUAUUCAAAAAAGUCAAUUUUUUUUAAAAAAUUACCUGAUUAGGCCUGGCACACGGCCGUGUGGCAUCAACAGUCAUGUUUUUCAGCAUCCGAAAUUCACAAAAACUCGGGUUUUCGGUACGUAGAGGAAGUAAUUUUGAAGUAAGAGCAACGUAAAAUACUCCCGAAGCCUAAAGCGACCAUUCAAUAACAAAAGACCUUCUAGCGGAAAAAGAAUACUCAAUUAUGCAUAGAAAACUAUGUCGAAAGUUUCGACACAAGACCUUCAACAACUCCAGACUUACCAACAACAUCAACAGUGAUUACUCGAGUUAUUGCACUGAGGAUUGUUGCUUUUGAUAUCCUCGCCUAAAAAGAAGCCAAAAGGUCCCUUAAAAGAAGGUUUAAACAAUUUGAGUUGGAAACAACUCAGACAAAAAUGAAUGAACUACCGUAUAACGGAAGUUCUAUGAUUAACGAAAUAGACAAAAUGUGCGGACCAAGCAACAAUUGGAUGAAGAAAAAAAGGAAAAAAGAACAAAAAGAAAUAGAUGAAAAAAAUAAAGAAGAAAAGGAAAAAAAUAGCAAUGGAAAGGAAGAGGGAACGCUUAAUUAAUCUAACCAUCGAUCAAAAUUUCGACAUUAACCAAAAACAUUACCUAAUGCAUACGCAGAGACUCAAAUACUAGACCAGAAAGUAGACAGAUGCUUAGCCAGUUAACCAGCAGGCUCAUUCUUGACUGUGAAAAAAUAGAACGUCGAUAAUGACAAUGUAUCACAAAGAAAAGAGAAAGAAAAAUAAAGAACACACAGAUUUUUAUGUAGAAACCCUUUUGAGAAAAAAAACUACAGGUAAAGGAGAAGAUAAUUCACUAUGUCGAAUUCAAAUGAUUAUAAGAGGAGUAGACUAUGUCUAUUGUAAAACCAUAUUAUAAUAGAAUGAGUGUAGUAAGGUUGAAACAUCUUAUUCUAAUCAAUAUCGAAUAUAUGAAGUGUAAUAAGGUUGAAAAACCUUAUUCUAAAAUAAAAUAAAAGAAGUGUAGUUCUAUAUGGAUUUUACUUUUAUUUUAUUUUACCACAAUAUUUUAUUUUAACAAGGAUUCGGGUCACUCAAUUCUAACAAUCUCCACCUUGACACGAAUUCUCAAUGAAUAAUUUCUUCACCAUGAACUCUCAACGAAUAAGUUCUCCACCUCUUCUAUGAAACCCUUUAAGGGGUAUUUUUCAACAAUGAACACCAACCAAGUCUAAACAAUGCUCAAACUUGGUUAUGGGAAGUGACUUAGUCAUCAUAUCUGCAAGAUUUUCAUGAGUACUAAUUUUGCUCACAAUACCACCACGAGUAAUAAUAUCAUGAACAAAAUGAUACCGAACAUUAAUGUGCUUUGUUCUCUCAUGAAACAGUUGAUCUUUUUAAGCACUCAUUUACAAUGAACAACCUUUUUUCCUUUAGGAAGUUUCACAAGAGCUCAUGUUUUAUUUUUGUUGAGUUAUUCCAUCUCUUUUUGCAUAGUAAAUAUCUACUUUUCUGAGUCUUCACAGCUAACCGCUUCAGAAUAAUUAGAUAGAUCUUCAUUUGCAUCUAUAUCUUUAGCCACAUUUAAAACAUAAGUAACUAGAUCAACAUCGAUAUACUUUUUUGAAGGUUUAAUCUCUCUUCUAGUUCUGUUUUUGAUGAUAGAAUAUUAUGGUAAAGAAGUAAAUCUAUUCUGAAUUUCUAUUCUGGCUUGAGGAGUCAACUUUGUUUUAGAUUCUAGAUUAAUCUGAUGCUCCAUCUACUUUUGCUGUUCUUUAUUAGAAGAGUCUUUAAGAGAUAAGUUAGGUAGCAUAACAGUUUGAUUAAAAACAUCUCUAUUAAUCACAACUUUUCUAUUUUCAAGACACCAUAACUUAUACACUUUUACACCAGUUUUAUAACCAAGAAAAACACAUUUAAUGGAUCUCGGUUCCAAUUUUCCAUUAUCAACAUGAGCAUAUGCAGGACACCUAAAGAUCUUUAAAUCAGAAUAAUCAGCAGGAUUACCAGACCAUACCUCUUGUGGAGUCUUUUUCUCAAUGGCACUUAAUGAAGACCGGUUGAUAAAAAAGCAUGCAGUAGAGGCUGCUUCGACUCAAAAUGACUUUGGUAAGUUGGUAUUCGAUAGCUUACAUCGAACCUUCUCCAUAAUUGUUCUGUUCAUUCAUUCUACAAUGUCGUUUUGCUGUGGAGUAUGACGAACUAUCAAGUAUCUCAUGAUCCCUUUUGACUUGUACAAUUCAUUAAACUCAUCAGAACAGAACUCUAAGCUAUUGUCUGUGCGAAUGUGUUUUAUUUGAUUUCCCCUUUAUUUUUCAAUCAUAGUUUUCCAAGACUUAAAUGUAGAAAACACAUCACUUUUCUACUUUAGGAAAAAUGCCCAAACUUUUCUGGAAAAAUCAUCAAUAAGUGUUAGCAUAUAAUUAGCUCCACAUUUCAAAGGCACACUAGAUGGCCCCACAAAUCAGAAUGAAUAUACUUUAACAUUCCUUUCAUGUUGUGGAUUUCUCUGCUGAAUCAAACUCUCUUUUGCUUCCCAAAAAGGCAAUGCUCACAGAACUUUGGUUUGCAAAUUUCUUACCCAUCAAGAAGUCUUUUUUUGUUCAAUUCUGUCACACUAUUCUCAUUCAUAUGCCCUAGGCGCAUAUGCCAAAGUCUAGUAACAUCAUCAUCUGAUAAGGAAGAGGAAGCGAUAGUUGCAUCACCAAUAAUCGUAAAACCCUACAAAACAUAUAACUUGACAGUCUUUCUUUGUCCUUUCAUCACAAUAAGGGAACCUUUGAAAUUCUUCAAAACUCCUCUUUAUGUUGUAUAUUUGUACCCUUUUGAAUAAAAAGUACUCAACGAAAUCAAAUUUCUCUUCAAAUAUAGAACAUGACGCAUGUCACUAAGUGUUUUGACAACUCUGUCAAACAUCUACUUUUCUUAGUCUGCAGAGCUAACUGCCUCAUCUCUUCAUCCGUCAAUGUCAAAGGCAUUUUAUCUAUCCGUAGCAGAGCAUCCUCUAAGUCCAUCUGCGCAAGAAUUGUCUACAUCUUUAUCUAUCACAACACAAAUCUGGUUUUCUAAUCCAAUAGUGAAAUUUCAUACCUCAAAGAUGUCAUUACCAUGAUUGAGAUGAACAACCUGGAAACUCUGAUACCAAUUUGUGAAAAAAUAGAACGUCGAUAAUGACAAUGUAUCACAAAGAAAAGAGAAAGAAAACUAAAGAACACACAUAUUUUUAUGCGGAAACCCUUUCAAGAAAAAAAGCACGGGUAGAGGAGAAGAUAAUUCACUAUGCCAAAUUCGAAUGAUUACAAGAGAAGUAAACUAUGUCUAUUUAUAGGCUUGUAAAACCAUAUUCUAAUAGAAUGAGUGUAGUAAGGGUGAAACACCUUAUUUUAAUUAAUAUAAAAUAGAUGAAAUGUAAUAAGGUUGAAAAACCUUAUUCUAAAAUAAAAUAAAAGAAGUGUAGUUUUAUAUGGAUUGUACUUUUAUCUUUUUACCAUUGUAUUUUAUUUUAACAAGGAUUCGGGUCACUCAAUUCUAACAAUCUCCACAUUGACACGAAUUAAAUCUAAGUCAGUGGCCCAAGAGUAGAGAUUAAUUAAAAUUAAAUUAGAAGAACUUCUAAAGAUGCAACUUGAACUCCUGACCUCAACCACAUAAACAGAGCACAUAACAACAGAUACAAAGACUUAAUUACUAUAGAAUCCCACAAAUAAACAUUCAAAUUUUUAGGGCGUUACCCAGCAUAUGGAUUAUGUGUAACACCCCUAACCCGUAUCCUUCUCCAGAAUAGGGUUAUAGAGCAUUACCGGAGUUUACAAAUUAAUUUUCAGACAUUUCAUUUCAUCAAGCAUUCAUAUUUAUAACCAAUCAAAAUCAGAACAUUUAUGAGCUAACAUUGACUAAUUUAACUUAUACAAGUCAUUAUAACCAGAAUCAAAUCAUCCAAAAUUACCGAUAGAACCAAUGGAUAAUGUAAUAUAUCUUCAACAAGCUUCCGAUAAUCAUUUCAAAACAUCUAACAAUUAUACAUAGUACCAAUAAUAACUCAAUUCCAAUAAUAAAACACAAAUAUAUAAUAUUCAUUACCAAAUAGAAUUCACUUUAAUUAAAAUUAUACAAAAUAUAGUUCAUACGAACUUAACAGACUAAAUUGCAGAAAUACCAAAAUUCAGGGGCAUUUUGGAAAGUUUCUAUUUUUCUCGAAUUUCUACCCAAUUUUGAUCUAAAUUAAUAUUUCAUUCAAUUUACUAAUUUAAAUAAUAAAACAAUUCAUUUCAUGCAAUUUGGUCACUUUUUUGACAUCUUUACAAAUUUACCCUUAAAGUUUCUCAUUUGUUCAAUUUAGUCCCUAAACCUAAAACAUGUAAAUUGGUCAUUUUUAAUGAAAACUCAUGCUAGUUGAAUAAUCAUAUAUUUUCCUCCUCCAGACUCCAUUCCACAUCCUUAAUGUAUAUAACAUGCUUAUAUGUAACAUUAUCUAUAAUUUCACCAUUUAUUCAUAUAUUCAUUCUAAAUUGUCCACUUGAGUCAUAGUCACUAAAUUAUUUAUAUCUUGAGCUAUAGAACUAAAAAUUGAGAUCCGUUAAUUUUAUAUGAAACUAGACUCACAUAUCUUCUUACCAUAAAAUUUUCAGAAAAUUUAGUUCAGCCAAUAAGUACAGUUUAUUCUUUAAAUUCAUCCCUGUUCUGCUGUCUGACAGUUCCGACCCUUCUUCACUAAAAAUUAAUUAUUUCCUCGUACAGAAUUCGAAUGAUGUUACCGUUUGUUUCUAUUGAAAAUAGACUUAUUAAGUAUUUAAAUAUAUAAAUUUAAGUCCAUAAUUAUUUUUCUCAAAUUUUUUAUGAUUUUCCAAAUUCAGAACAGGGGAACCCAAAUUCAUUCUGACCUUGUCUCACAAAAUUUAUUAUAUCUCAUGAUUUACAAUUCUGUUACUUAUUAUAUCUCAUGAUUUACAAUUCUGUUACUUACACCGUUUCUUCUAUGAGAAACGAGACUCAAUAAGCUUCAAUUUCAUAAUUUUUUUAUCCUCUAAUUCGAUUUUCACAAUUUAUGGUGAUUUUUCAAAUUUAACCUACUGUUGCUGUCAAAAACUAUUUUAAUGCAAGAUAUUGAUUACUAAGUUUAUAACUCCCUUAUUCCCUUUCUCUAUAAUAUUUCCCAUCACUUUCACUUAUUUCCGUUCACUAAUAUAUCAAGAAAAUAAGACUUUAUAUAAGAAAACUCUACUAGAACAUCAUUUCUAUGCUUUUUCAAUAAUAUCAAACUUAAAAACAUAUUGAAAUCUUGAUGUUCUUACCUUGUCCUAUUGGUUUCAAUCUUUAACUUGAUUUUCUCUCUCCUCCAGCUUCUAUUUCUUUAAUCUAACUUGAUAUUCUAGCUCCCCAUAGUCUUCUUGUUAUUUUUCUCUCUUGAUGGCUAUAAAAAUUCUUUUGAUUUCUAGGUGAAAAUAGUAAAUUUUUGGAGGAAGGACCAAAUUGUAAAGAAAGCAAAACUUUCUUUCUUUCUUUCUCUCAUCUUCACGUUGGUGCAUGGGAAGAUGAUGGCUUGGUUCCCUUUUUCAUCUUUUUUUCCACAUAUAUAUAUUUUAAAUAAUAAAAUAAUAAAAUAUCAUUAAAAUAUUAAUAAACUAAUAUUUAUUUAUUUAUUUAAUCUAAAAUAUCUCCAACAUCAUCAUUAUCUUCUAGAUUACUCUCUCUUCUAAAUGACCAUUUUGCCCUUCAUGAUCUUUUAAAAUUCCAUCCUUGAGUCAUCACUUAAUUUGGAAAAAUUAUGAUUUAAUCCCUCAUAAUUUUUCACCUAUUCAAUUAGGUCCCAAUUCAUCCAUUUUCUUUAGUUUCUAGAUUAUUCCACCCUUAAAAUAUUUACACUAUUGGUCCUUCAAACUUUUCAUAUUUACACUUUAACCCCUCAAAUUUUAAGUAUUUACUCUUGGGCAACAAAACUUUUCUCACUUUUGCAAUUUAAUCCUUUCUUGAAUUAAUAUGUCAUAAUAUACUUUCCAAUGUUGACAUAACUCAAAGUUACCAUUUUUAUCACUUUAUUUCCUUAUUUACUAUAUCAGGAAUAUUAUCUUAUUUUUUUACUGUAGUAAAUUUUUUUUUGGGGUAUUACAUUAUGAGUCUAUAUAUACACACAUAUCUACAUCUCACAUGCUUAAGAAAAUAAGAGAAAUGAGACUUUGGGUCUAGAAACAAGCGUUUUCUAAAAUUUGGCCUAUUCCUUUAAGUUUUACAUAAAUAAAGCUAUUCAUGUAAAUUUUUUAAUUUUUCGACAUUUAUUAGUAAACUAGUCAAUGUUUUUAAUCAUGAAUAUAAUUUUGGGUUUAUAUGAAAUAUGCAGGGCAAGAUAGUAAUGUUAUUAUUAUUGUGUAUAUAUAUUAUAUAUGCAUAUCAAUGAUUUUGAGGAUUAAUUCAUGAUUAUAGUAGGUGUUCAUAACCAUUAUUCAUUGUUACGAUGAUUUGGUGCAAACUCAUGUAAACUAUAAUACAGGUUUAAAGAAUUUGGUUUUUCAAGUUUGAUUUUAUAAUAUUUGGUUUUGGCAUUUUAUGGUUCCAAAUAUUUGGUCAAAUUAUGAUAUGAUUUACGAAAUGAAUUGUGAGAUAUACCAACUAUUACAAAAUUUGGGUUAAGAGUUAGAUUUUGGAAUUUCAAAUUUUAAAAUUGAAUAUAAAACAUUAAAAAAAUUGUAUUAUAUCUUCUUUCACACUUCCUUCAAAACUUAAACAAUAAAUAAUAAAUUUUGUAACAGCCCAUUUUCAGUGAAAUCAAAAUAGUGGUUUCGAGACCACAAAUUCGACAUGAAAAUAUUUAUUUUUAUUAAUAUUUUAGUGUCUACAGUAGGUUAGUAGUGUCGUACAAAAAUUUUGUUAAGAAAUUUUGACGUUUGCAUCUUAAUUAAGUAAAAAAAAAGGAUUAAAUCGUAAAAGGUGAAAAAGUGCAGUUCAAUUAGAUAAAGGCAUUAAAUUGCUAUGAAAUUUUAGUUUGAGUGACUUAAAUGAUAAUUAAACCAUUUUAUGAGUUAAUGGACAUAUAUGGACAUCAUUUUAAUGAUGUUAAAGGUUUAUAAUAAAGGUUAAUUUAGUAAAUAAAUACAAAUUAAAUCAAUUAAAAGAAAACUAAAUGUCUAUCUCCUCCAAGUUCUUUCUCCACCGUAAUUUAGAAGAGGAAGAAGCCUUUUUAGGGUUUUUCCAUUCGGCCAUAGUCUAUCCUUGCAUGUAAGUGCAAUUUUGUCCCGUUUUUAAUUAUUUCUAUGUUUUUGAAGUCAUUAUAGCUUAAUCUUGCUAGCCUAGGGGCUAAUACGCAAAAUUGUUAAAAGUAUAGGGUUUUGCCAUGAAUUUCCUAGCUUGAUAUUUGUAGUUUAAUGAAAUAUUAUGAAUUUUUGUUGAUAAAUAAACAACUUUUGCAAAGUGAUUUUUGUUGAAAAUGUCAAAUCGAGACUUGAUUGUAAAAAUAGUAAAAAUGUAUGGUGAAAUUGUGAAAUAAUGAUUUGUAUGAAUUAAUAUGUGUUCAUGAAGAAUUCAGCUAGCUUGGGUUAGGGAUGAAACUGCAUGAAUUUCAAUUUACGAGCAUAAAGACUAAAUUGUAAAAAGUUAAACUGUUAGGGGUACAAUUGUAAGUAUGCAUAAAUGUGAUUUGUGGAUUGAAUUGAAUAAUUGAGUUUGAUUGAAACACUUAAUUGAAUAUUAUUAUUUAUUUAGAUUAAGAUAAAUCUCAACCAGAUUUAAAUUGAGGAAAGGCGAAAGUCACAGAUUAACUUGAUUGUACUCCUACGCACUAGUUGCCAAUGUAAGUUCAUAGUAGUUAAACGUAUAAUUGAUUUUCCAUAUGUAUUUUUACCUUAUAAAUAUGUAAUUAAAUGUUAAUGUAAAUUAUAACCUAUUUGUACUUCAGUACCUCUGAUUGCACAUACGUGCCCUUGUUCGUACUUCCGUAUCCUUGAUUGCACUUAUGUGCCCCUGUUUACAUUUUCGUAAUUUCAAUCAAGUAAAAUAAGAAUUGUGUUCAUUUGAUGCUAAGUUUAAAAGAUUUACUAUGUUCUUACUGAGCUUUGUAAGCUUAUAGGUUUUUGUGUAUCAUUUUGUAUAUUGUUAUUGCUAACCUUUGGACGGAUCGAAUCUUCAGCUCACACUAUCCAUCAUUGUUGGUAGCUCUUAAACUCUUUAGGGUUGUGGCAUGUAUAUGUGGCUAUUUAGUUUGUUUUGGUAUAAUAUGGUGAAUUACUAAACUAGGUGAUUAGGUACUUUUCUAUGUUUGUGAAUAGAUAUCUUUUGGUACAAAUAGAAUGUUAUGAAAGUAAACACUUAUGGAUUGUUUUGGUUUGUUGAUGGAAUAAGUUGUUAUGUUUGGUUUAUAAAUAUGGUAUAUUGGAUGGUGUGCUUUUGGCACUUUGAUGCUUAAUGGAUUGUUAUGGAUAUGAUCAAUUUGGUAUGUCUGAAUUGUGGUUAAUUAUGAAAUGAUUAGGUAUGUUUUAUGUAUGUGUUUGAGUUGUCUAUAUGACGUAUUGGUUAUAUGGAUUAUUAGCUUAUUGUAUGGAUAUUUUUUUGUAGGUUUUGAGCAUGUUUAUGAGUUUUGAUCAUGUGUGCAAAAGUGCCUAAGUUUAUGCUUGUGAAGGAUAAAAGAAAUGACUUGAUUUUAGUCAUUUUCUUGUCCACACAGCCAAAGACAUGGGUGUGUGUCUUAGCCGUGUAUGACAUACGGCCACGUGAAAUGGUCGUGUGUCCCUUAUAGGUUUCAAAGGGUGGUAAGUCAGGCAGUUACACAGCUUGGCACAUGGGCGUGUUAGGCCAUUUUGAUAGUUACACGACUUGACACACGGGUGUGUGGCUUGGCCGUGUAGCCCAAGUCAGAGAGAUACACGGGCACAAACACAGGCUAGGACACGGCCGUGUGUCCCUACUUUUAAUGUCCACACGGCCUGAGACAUGAGUCGUGUGAGUUACACAGCCAUGUGACCCCUGCAGUAUGAAAUUUUCUAACUAUUUCCAUAUUCUUUCAUAUGUCCCCAAUUUAGUCCUGAAUCAUUUUUAAACUAUUUUUAAGGCCUCAAGGGUUCAAAUAAAGGAUGAUAUGUAUGUGUUUGAACAAGUUAUGAUAUGAUUUAUGAAAUGUUUGCAAACAAAUUAUUUAAGUUGCAUAUUUACAUUAAUGCUCUGUAACCUUAUUCUGGAGACGGAUACAAGUUAGGGGUAUUACAAAGUUUACUGAUAAUAUAUCGAUGAAGUUCAAGGGUUUCAAAAUUGGAUUGGUAGGCAAACUAUAGACCACUAGUUCAUGGUUUAACUGGUUCAAUCGAUCCAAUUGAUUCAAUUGAAUAAAUUAUUAAAAAUAAAAAUAUUUAAAAAUAAAUAAAAUCAAUUCAAUUGUCAAUUUGAGUGAGUCAAUUGGUUUAACCAGUUCAUGAGUCAACCAAUUUGACCUUUUAUUCCAAACUAGUAUCUCGAACGAUUCCCAAUCCGAUCGAUUUGACCAGUCAAUCCGAUUUGGUUCUUAAAACAAUAACAAAACUUCAUGUGUUUAAUUUAAUACAUUAUAAAUAUGCUAAAUUUUCAUUUAUAUGAUAAUUUUCACAAUUUUAAUUUAUAAACCCUAGACUUUUAAUUAAAAUCUAAGUAAGUACAAAAAAAUUUAUAUGAUUGAACUAAUUAGGCCACCAGUUUGCUAGUCCAAUCGGUUUAAUCAGUUUGACCGAUACGAUCGGUUCGACCAAUCUACCUGAUUCUAUUAAAUAAAUCAUUAAAAAAUCAUAAAUAUAAAAAUAUAAAAAAUAUUAUUUUAGUUCAACCGGUUCAACUGCAUAACCAAUCGGUUAGUAUUGAUUCCUGGGACAGCUCGUUUAAUGACUUUCGUCAAACAAGUACUUUGGCUGAUUCCCAAUUCGAUUGGCCAAACUAAUCUUGUUCAAACAAUAAUGUUCAAAAUCCUCCUAAAUAAUUAAAUCUUAAAGAAAAAACAUUUUUAAAACUUAAAAUUAGUUGAAAUCCAAAUCAAUAAAUUUAAAUCAAUUCAAAAUUUUAAAUUUCAAAUAUUUUUAUUACCAAAUAAAAUAUUUAAAAAUAAUGAAAUCAUAAAUUUCGAACUUAGAAAUUGAUAUUUCAAUUCUCAAACAAUAGCUAAUAGUUUGGACGGGUUUGCAGCACUCACAAAAUCAUUUAAUACUUAGUAACACAAGAAUGCACCUUAAUUGCUCUUUUUUUUUUUUAACCAUGUUUUUGGUUGUUUACAAAUAAUUUUGCAUAAAGAAAAAAAAAUCAUAUUAUAGCAUAACCAAUAGUAUUAUUCUAAAUUAGAAAAUCUUAUUAUAAGUGCAUACGUGUAAAAAUUACAAAUUUAGAAUAUAGAUAUAUGUUUAAAAAUAUCAUUUAAUAAUAAAUAAUGAAACUUAUGGUUUGAAACUAAUUAAUCAUAACAACACAUGAAAUAUAUAUGAUACUAAAAUUAAAAAAUAAAUUAAAUUAUGAGUAAAAUGAAAUUAACCACAUACAUACAUCAGAUAAAUCAUAAUUAAUUUUAAAUUAAUUACACAUUGAACUGGAAAAGAAAAACCGUUCAUAUCCUUUUUCUUUUAGUUUUCUUUUCCAUUUUGAUUGAAAAAAAAAUUUAUUCUCAUCCUAGUUAGACAUCUAAAUUGGCAUUUAAAACUCAUUUAGACCGCCACGUAGAAUUGCUUUUAGGGAGGUAACGGAGCUUAACGGCAGAAUGAGUACUACUUCGUAACAAAACGAUAACAUAAGUAACUAGAAUGUAACAUUUCAAACAUAAGUGACUAAAAUGUAAUAUGAGGAAAACAAAAGUGACUAUUUUUGUCGUUUAUCGUAUUAUUAAUUUUUUAUUUAAAAUUUAAUUUAAUUAGAAUUAAAUUAAAAUAUAAUUUUUUUAGCAAAAUUUGAUUAAUAACUUAUCCCUACUAAUUAUUUGAUUGUUAAAAUUCAAACUAUUUAUGCAAAGUUUUUAUUUUUAUCCUAAUAAUUAUUUUUGAUGUGUGUAGUUAACGUUGAAAACCUUAAUUUUCCCUGUUAAUUACUUUACUAUGAUUUCAGUCGUGAAUAUGUUAUUUUGAAUUUUACGUCAUCAGUCAAUCAGACUUUAUAAUUUAGUUGUCAAAAUUCAAAUUAUUUAUACCAAGUUUAUAUUUUAAAACACACAUAAGUUAUUACUUCUUGAUCAUAGGUCAGAUUGAUGUAAAAUUUUAAGUUCGAGCUCGGCUCAGAAAAUGAGUUUAAAAUUUUACUCAAGCCCAACCUAAAUUAAUAAUGCUAAAAUUGAGCUCGACCGGGUCUUCCCAUAUUGAUUUUUUUUAGAUUUUUUAUAUAAAAACAAAUUUUAAAAAUAUAAUAUAUCAAAUGUAAACACCCUAUACCUGACCUAGACAUUACGGUCAAAUCAUGGAGAUUACAUCUAACGAAUGGAAAAUUCAAUUGAACAACUCUUUUUUGAAAACACAAUGAUUCUCCUAAAUCGUAGCUUAAUUGUGUUACUAACAUCAAAAGCAAUUUACAUGAAAACAUUUGCGUGCUAACAAAAAAAAAACAUUUUGAGAGAAUUUCAGUUAAUCUUACAGUGAAAAACCUUAUAGUUUUUUAUAUAUAAAAUCGUGGUUCAUUUUUAAUUAUCAUAGGUUAAGCGUUUUUAAUGACUAAAGCCUUUGCUUAGUAAAUAUCAAAAUAGUCCUAACUAAACAAAAAUAAAAAUGUUCAAAACGAAAUAAAAACCCAAAACAGUCAAAAAAAUGUCCAUAAUAACAAAUAAAAAGUCCAAAGUGUUUAAACUAAAAUGUGUAAUUCGAGCUCCAGAGUCGCCAUCUAAUCCUAAGUCGAAAGAUCACCUGAAACAAAGAAAAACAUAGGCGUGGGCUUUAAGCCCAAUGUGUGAUUUGGCCCAUAAUUUCAAUAAUUUCAAUACAAGCAAUCAUCAAUUUGUUUCAUAGCAUAUCAGGCUUCAUAACUAGACAUAUUUUAUCAUAUCAUAUCAUAUCAUAUCAUAUCAUAUCAUAUCAUAUCAUAUCAUGUCCUACUCCCAUCCGCUACAUAUUGUCUCCGUCCAGCCAAUCAUACCAUAUAAGACUACUAGAGUCCAUCUAUUUAGUCACUUCAAUAGGUAGCAAUGUGCCACUUAUAUAAUUGCAGUUGAGCUGCUAUACAUAAAUUUGUGGUCUAGCCGCCACAAUUAUAGUAUAAACUAUCAUAUAAUGUAACACCCCAAACUCGGCCUAGACGUUAUGGUCAAAUCUGGCGUGUCACAUUGAAGUGUCUUUCGAAAAGUAGACUUGUUGGUAACAAUUCGUUUCUAAGUUUAAAACCCCUUUAUUAGUGUUUAACAAAACAUCUAGUCAAACGUUUACCUUGUUAUCUACUUUAGUUAUAAUGGGUUGAUUUUAAAUCGCGGCAACUUUUGAAAACUCUGAUCAUUUAAAUUUAGUAUCUUUGAAAAUAGUAAUUAUUUUGAAAAUUCGUCUUCUCUUAACCUAGUAGUUUAAGGUAAAUAAGCAAAAGCCCAAUUAGAAAUUCAAACAAACUUAAAGGCCUUAUUACAAAAACCAACCCAACAUAUAAUUUAAAUUUAAAAUAAAAGCAACUGUAAACAGCAGCAGUUGUGUGGCCACCUCCGAGUCCCUCGCAGCACUGAAUCGCCUAUAGCUGAGGAUUACCUGCACAGUUAAAAGGAGAGAGUGAGUUUACAAAACUCAGUGUGUAAUCCUCUACCAAACAGUCAGUAUACAACAUGCAGUAACAAACUGAGCUUGAGCCCUAUUCAGUAACAGUACAGUGAGGGCCUUAGCCAAAUACAGUAACAGUGUGGGCCUUAGCCCAAUACUGUAUCAGUACAAUGUAAUAAUACAAAUCAUCCCAAUCCAGUCAACAUACCACUCCGUACCACCAACACACCAUGUGGGGAUAAAAUUGACCCACCCAGCCAACACACCAAUAUCGCAGUAAAAUUGCCAGAAGUAGCAUCGCAGCAAAGCUGCUAGUAACAGUAUUGAAGCAAAGCUGCCAGUAACAGUAUCGCAGCAAAGUUGCCAGUAACAGUAUACUCCCUCCAUUGCAGUAUCCCAACCCCAUGCAAUAUGUCAUGUCAUAAAUCAUACGUGUAUGCAAAAUAUCGUAUUCAAUCAUAGUCAUACAUAUCAUAUAGCAAAUCGGUCAUACAUACAUAAGGCCAUAACAGUCAUUUUGACUCUUAGGGGUAUAACAGUCAUUUUACCCUAUGGGGGUAUUUCGAUCAUUGUACCCUAUGGGGGUAUUUCAGACAUUUUACCCUAUGGGGUAUUUUAGUCAUUUUACCCUAUAGGGGUAUUUCGAUCAUUUACCCAGAAAUGGCAAGUUGGGCUUAACACUCGAGCGAUCGCACGCCUGUGUGGUCUCAAACGUCGUAUUUAUGGCUUUUUGGUUUCUGCCGUUCUACAGUUACAGUAGGGUGUUUACACACAUAUUUAUGAGAAGAGCGCAAAUCUCCACGUACACCAACCUAUAUUCAAACAUAACCUAAGUCAGUCCUUUAAACACUAGGGUAAAACACCCUCUUAUUAACAAUUAAUCCAAAACACCAUCCUUACCUUGCUUGAAAGAGGGCGACUUUACUCCUCCAAGACCGCCAACCAAAAGUGGUCACACACUUAUCGAUUAUCUGCACCACAGACAGUGAUCUUAAUAACUAAGUUAGGCUAUAUAAGUGGCCAAGAAGGGUAUUCGGUUUUAAGAAAAAGAAUAGAAGAGAAUUGAUUUAAACAAAAAGUGACAAGUAUCAAUACUUUACCGAUAAUCAAAAACACUUACAGCACUGGGACAGCAAAAGCAACGAGGAGAAGAUCGGCGCAGAGAGUGAUAGAACAGAAGGGUGAUAUUCGACUGAACCACACUCAAUAAAAGAAGAUAGCUCAUGGUCAAAAGGAAAAUAAUGGAAGGUAGAAAUCAAAAACAGAAAGAGAAAAAUAUUCGGUUAAAGAAGAAAAGAAAAAGAGAAAGGAGAUUCGACCAACAGAGAAGAGAAGAGGGGAAAAGAGAAUGAAAGAUUCGGCAACAAGAGGAGAGGGAAAGAGAGAAGAGCAUUCGGCAAGCAGAGAAUAUGAGAAGGAAAAAGUAGAAAAGGAAAGCGAACAAACCCGAAAGGUAUUUUAAAACUUGGCAAAAUUCAGUACCAAUAACUAAUAGAUGAAACACGAAACUGACCGAAACCAAAAUAGACAGAAGAAAAACAACCUCAAACAUCGAUUACCUCAAUGGCUAAUGACCAAAUUCGGCACAAGCAUACCCCUAGCCGAAUUCUCAAGCUAGAGUUUCCCCAAACGGCACAACUCUCCUCUCAAAUAACUCCUUGAUUUUCUCCUCGUAUCUAUCCCCUUAUCCCUCAUUGAAUCACUCCACUGAUUUCUCCUCAACUCCUCCAACAAGCCAUUCAAAUUCCAUUCAAACUCCCUUUAGCUGUGUUUCAGUCCAACUCCGCUACCUACACAGCUCAAGCAGCAAAAUAAACACUCCAUUGCAUAACUCAGGACUUGAACCUCAGACCUCACAGUCACACAACACGCCACAUUGCCACCAGACUACAAGCUCUUUUUGUGUCAUAAAACAAACACUAAUAUUUAUAAGGACUAAAUGCCAAUGUCCAGAUUCAUUUAAGAGUAAAACUAAAAAUUCUGCAAAAACCAAGACUUGAACCCAAGCUUCUCAAACACUCCCAUACACACCCAAAUCACUUAGCCAUUAAAGCAAACAAGCAAUUUGCGUCAAAUUAUGCAAAAAUCAAAGACUUAGAUUUUUGGGGCGUUACAUAUAACACUUCUUCCAUUAUAUCAUAACCCACCUCGAAACACAAACAAAUCAUAAUCGUAUAACAUACUUAAAUAUAUAUAUAUAUAUCAUAACUCAAUGGCAUGCAUACUUACAUAUUGUCAUACAAAUCCUUACAUAGCACAUGGUUAAAUGGAACAUUUCCUACUUAACAUACCUCCUAAACUUAUCUGUAUACUUUUACGUACUGAUAUUUAGGCUUUUCUGGCCCCAUACGAUGCCUACGGACCCAGAUUUUGAGUCCCUCAAACUACCCCUAAUUGGGCCCUAAAAUUGGGCAAAAAGGCCUACGCAACCCAAAAAGCUAGCUCGUGUGGUCUAUACGGCCUACCACACGAUCUGCAAAGUUUUACACGGACGUGUGCUCCACACAACCAAGCCACAUAGGCUGUAAGAUUUCAUAUGGCCAUGUGGUGCACAAGAUUUACCACACGGCCUAGCCUAUGAUUAUGUGGCACUAGCCAAUUUCGAUGAACAGCCCCUAUUUUACGAAUUUAACGAGUUUCAAUUCAAUUUUUUGGUUAUUUUCACACACCUGAUUACGUAGUCAACUAACUUCAAUAACGGGAACUCACAAACCUACAAUUACGCAACAGUCGUACCAACAAUAUGUCAAAAAACAUCACCUUAAUACAACAAAAUUAUAGCCCUUAAAAUGACAUUUGAGUCCUUACCACUUGGAAAAUAGCGACUAAAAUAGAACUUAAUCCAUUGAAGGGAUUGGAUUAUCGGUUCCUUUGCCUAAUCAACACAAGAACAUUUAUCACCUUAAGCAAAAAAAAAAUUGAAUCAAAAUAACAGAAAAAAAAGGUACAAGAGGGAGAGGGAACAAACGGUUCUAGGAAAAGAGGAAUAUAAGGAUUUGAUAGACUUAAAAUAAAAUAAAAUAAAAUAAAAAUAGCAAGUUUUAAUUAAUCCAAACCCCACACUUCAGAUUUAAUAGAGUUUAACUAAACUUUAACACCUACGAGAAGCCCAAGCAAAAAGUAAAAUGUAAUCAAACACUUAACCAUUAAACCACUAAACCCAUCAUUAUUAUAACCCAACAAAGAAAUUGAUUUAAGCCCUAAGGUUCAAACUUAACUUAAAGUAAAAAUAAUAAUAAUAGAAAAUCUCAAAACUAGAUAAUUGAACUCAGGACCUAAAACAAACUUUUAAGACAGUUAACCAACGCUCCAAAUCAAAUUACUUAACCAACCUACACAUUCAAAAACCCAAAAUUUGGGGCAUUACAUCAAAUGUACAUAUAUUUAAUUACGUAAUGAUAUUUAAGCUUUUCUGGCCCUAUACGAUACCUACGGACCUAGAUUUCAAGUCCCUCAAAUUGCCUAAAAUUGGGCAAAAAGGUCCAUGCAGCCCAAAAAGCUAACUCAUAAGGUCCAUACGGCCUACCACAUGGUCUGGAAGAUUUUACACGGACGUGUGCUCCACGCCAAGCCACAUGGGCUGCAAGGUUUCACACGGCCAUGUGGUGCACAUGGUUUACCACACGGCCUGACAUAUGAUCAUGUGGCGCUAGCCAAUUUCGAGGAACAGCCUCUAUUUUGCAAAUUUAACGAGUUUCGAUUCAAUUUUUUGGUUGUUUUCACACACCUGAUUACGUAGUCAACUAACUUCAAUAACGGGAACUCACAAACCUACAAUUACGCAACAAUCAUACCAACAAUAUGUCAAAAAACAUCACCUUAAUACAACAAAAUUAUAGCCCCCAAAAUGACAUUUGAGUCCUUACCACUUGGAAAAUAGCGACUAAAAUAAAACCUAAUCCAUUGAAGGGAUUGGAUUAUCGGUUCCUUUGCCUAAUCAACACAAGAACAUUUAUCACCUUAAGCAAAGAACAAUUGAAUCAAAAUAACAGAAAAAAAAAGGUGCAAGAGGGAGAGGGAACAAACGGUUCUAGGAAAAUAGGAAUAGAAGGAUUUGAUAGACCUAAAUUAAAAAAAAUAAAAUAAAAAUAACAAGUCUUAAUUAAUCCAAACCCCACACUUCAGAUUUAAUAGAGUUUAACUAAACUUUAACACCCACGAGAAGCCCAAGCAAAAAGUAAAAUGUAAUCAAACACUUAACCAUUAAACCACUAAACUCAUCAUUAUUAUAACCAAACAAAGAAAUUGAUUUAAGCCCUAAGGUUCAAACUUAACUUAAAGUAAAAUAAUAAUAAUAAUAGGAAACCUCAAAACUAGAUAAUUGAACUCAGAACCUAAAACAAACUUUUAAGACAUUUAAUCAACAUACCAAAUCAAAUUACUUAACCAACCUACACAUUCAAAAACCCAAAAUUUGGGGCAUUACAUCAAAAGUACUAAAAAUAUUAAAAUAAAUGUUUCCCAACAAAUUGAGAAUACAUUGAAAAAGUCUUUAUACUUAAAUAACAUUAAAAAAUAACAUUGAGAUAGUUGCAACUUAGCAAGUAAGUUCCUCCAAAAUAGUAGCAAAAUUAACAAUAAAACAAAAAUUAUACAACAUUCAAAUAAUAACAACAAAAUAGUAGUAAUAAAAUAGUAAAAUGACAACAAAACAACAAUGAAAUGGCAACAAAACAAUAUAUUUGGUCAGGUCAGACUUAGAUCAAAAUUUAUUAAAUAUAUAAUUUUUUAUUAUAUGAUAUAAUUAGUGACUCAAUAGUUACUUAUGAAAACGCCCAAUUGAAUCUAAUUCACAACCUCUUCCAAUUUUUCAUUCCCAGAAAAUUGAAUUUUGUUUCUAAAUUCCCCCUCAAAAUCAUAAUGAUAGAUUUUUUUUUCAUAAUAACUUUUUUUUUUAGCUCCUCUUCAAAUUACUUAAAAAAUGGAUGGAAAAAUUAAUGUUGGUUAAUUUUGUUCAUAUAGUACCUACGUAUAUAUCACGUAAGCAAUUAAUUAAUAUUUUAAGUUAAAAAUAUUAAAAUAUGUUUUUUAUGUUUUAUAAUUUUUAAUACUUUUUUAUUUUUUUAAUAUAUAAUAAAAUAAUUAAUUGCUAACGUGGCAUUCAUGUGGCAAUCUACGUGUAUGUCAUGUCAGCAAAGUUAAUAAAAUGUUUUUUUUUCAUCUAUUUUAGUGUGAUUUGAUAAACAAUACAAAUUUAUUAACUAAAAAUAUGAAAAUCAAAAUGAAAAUGAAAAUAAUUUUUUGUUUAGGUUAUUGAAUCAAAUAAAUAAAUUAUAUAUAUAGACAUAUAUACACACACAUUUGCAUAUAGUACUAUGUGUUAUUUAGCUGUUAGUGGAACAUGUCUCAAAAUUAGUAGUGGGCAGUUUAUGGUUUACAGAUAAACAUGCAACAUCUAUGUUUCUACAUUGCUACAAAAUAACACGAUAAUGAAACCAAAAUUAACGUUGUACACAAAUGACGAAAUAAUAUGGAAAAGUAACUGUGACUUGAUGAAAUAAUAACAACAUAAUAAUACACAAACAUUUUGAAAUUUAUACCUACAAGCUCUCUAUUAAAAGUUUAAUUGUAUUUUAUUUUUAUUUAAAAAUGAGUAAAUUAAUCUCCAUACGUUAAAUUAAAGAGUAACAUGAUUAUUCUAUUAAAAAUUUUAUCUAUUUCUAUUAUUAAAAACUAGUCUCAGUACGUCAGCAUGAGAAAUAUAUGACAUGCCAAAUGUCACAAUUUGAUUAUUUUGUCAACUAUGUCAAUUUUAACAGUACAAAUGGAUAAUUUUUUUAAUAAACAUUAUCAAUUUACUCUUUAAUCUGACAUAUAAGGACUACUUUACCCUUUUAUUUUUAAGUAGAGAGGACAAAAUACAAUUUGACUCUUAAUACAGAAAUCUUCAUAGUACUUUUACUCUAUAAAUUAUAUAUUAACGUGUAAAUAUUUCAUAUAAAUAUGAAAAAUAGGAUACACAUACAUGAAUUGUUAGAUCUAAUAAUAAAAGCAAGUAGUUUAAAAAGGUAUUUAUUUUCCUUUCCAUUUUAAGUAAUUUUUUGUGUUUCCAAAUGAUUGAUGCAUAUCUACUAAUAAUAAUCUAUGAUUAACAUGUUAAGGUAUAUCUAAGAUACGAGUGUCAUAUAUAAAUACCUGAAAAAGAAAAAGAAAGUAAGCUGGGAUCAUUCACCAAUUUUCUUUUAUGUAAGUGAACAGAACAAACAGAGCAGUAGUACAUGUCCGUCAGCCAUUUCCUAGUGCAUGAAUCCGGAGAUGAUAAUCUAGAAUCACAUAAAUAUAAAGAAUUCACUUCUUUUUCUGCAAUUUAUUUAUACAUUUGGAAAUCCAAUUUCAUCUUCUCAAAUGAUAACUUAAAAAUGGUAAAGAGUCAAUAGGGUUAGUUGCGCAAACAAAUGUACUCGCAUGGGAAUCAAGUUCCACAAUUACAAUGAAAGACCUUCCCGUUGAAAGCAAUUUCAAAAGAAACCAUCCUUAGAAUUCAAUGAAUCAUCAAUAUCAUAGUAAGGAAACAUUAUUGUUGCAUGAACUCAAGAUUACCGGAGCCACUGAUUUCAUAUUGCAAAAUCCACAGACUUCAAAUCCUUAUUCUUUCUAUUCCUGUCUCUGAGGUAUCUAUUCUUUUCUUAUUAUAAUACAUUGUUUUGACUAUAUCACACUAUGUAUCAUUUAAUAAUUGAAUAGAUCCCUAUCUUUGAUUUAAAUCGAAUUUGUAAUGGAGGAAUUUCAAAUAUAUUUAGAACUAGAUAGAUCCCGCUGACACGAUUUCCUAUGCCUACUUAUUUGUCGGGAGUAUAUUUAUGCACUUGCUCAUGAGCUUAGUUUAAAAAAAUCGAUGAUUUUUUUUUAAAUCAGGGUUAUGGUAAUAAAUUCAGUUCACUAAUUGUGAAACAUUUAAUUCUUCAAAUAGAUCAACAAAAUCAUUUGAUUAGUUCUGCUAAUGAUUCCAACCAAAAUCUGAUUUUUGGGCACAACAAUUAUUUGUAUUCUCAAAUGAUAGCUGUAGGAUUUGUAGUCCCACUUAUGGGGUCAAAUCCAUACAUUUUGAGAAGAAAUAUUUGAAUAUAAAUCUCAUCGAUCUCAUAAGUAUCAUACCAAAUCCUAUCAAUCGAAUUAUUUUUUUUGAGAAAUACGAGACAUCUACGUCAUACAAGUAAAGAGAUCUAUUCAUUGAUAAGAAAAAUAAAAAACGUGAGCGGUGAUUGGAUUGGUGAGAAAAUAGAAUCAUGGGUUGCGAAUAAUGAUUCAAUUGAUGAUAAAGAAAGAGAAUUCUUGGUUGAGUUCUCCACCUUAACGAAAGAAAAAAAGAUUGAUCAAAUUCUAUUGAGUCUGACUCAUAGUGAUCAUUUAUCAAAGAAUGACUCUGGUUAUCAAAAGAUUGAACAACCGAGACCAAUUUACUUAUGAUACUUAGUUGACAUUCAUAAAAAGUAUCUAAUGAAUUAUGAGUUCAAUACAUCACGUUUAGCAGAAAGGCGGAUAUUCCUUGCUCAUUAUUAGGCAAUCACUUAUUUACAAACUUUAUGUGGGGCUAAUUGUUUUCAUUUACUGUCUUGUGGAAAACCCUUUUCGCUUCGCUUAGCCCUAUCUCCCUCUAGGGGUAUUUUAGUGAUAGGUUCUAUAGGAACCAGACGAUCCUAUUUGGUCAAAUACCUAAUGACAAACUCCUAUGUUCCUUUCAAUACAACAUUUCUUAACAAGUUCCUAGAUAACAAGCUUAAAGGUUUUCUUAUUGAUGAUAUCGAUAUUGAUGCUAGUGACAUUAUUGAUCGUGACCUUGAUACGGAGCUGGAGCUUCUAACUAUAAUGAAUACGUUAACUAUGGAUAUGAUGUUGGAAAUAGACUGAUUUUAUAUCACCCUUCAAUUCAAAUAACUAAAAGCAAUGUCUCCUUGCAUAAUAUGGAUUCCAAACAUUCAUGAUCUAGAUGUGAAUGAGGCGAAUUACUUAUCCCUCGAUUUAUUAGUGAACUAUCUCUCCAAAGAUUGUGAAAGAUGUUCCACUAGAAAUAUUCUUGUUAUUACUUCAACUCAUAUUCCCCAAAAAGUGGAUCCUACUCUAAUAGCCCCGAAUAAAUUAAGGCAAAGAGAGACGAUUUCGCGAGACUUAGCUUGGCAAACAAGUUGAUUAUUCGAGAUGUUCUGUCAUUGUUAUUGGCCCUUCACUUUUAUUACAUCGCUGUGGAUUGCCUCACGAAAUAGAAAUAGAGCUUUUCCAGACAUUUGUAAUUCGCGGUCUAAUUAGACAACAUCUUGCUCCGAACAUAAGAGUUGCUAAGAGUAAAAUUUGGGAAAAAAGAUCGAUUGUAUGGGAAAUACUGCAAGAAGUUAUGUGGAGACAUCAUGUAUUGCUGAAUAGAGUGCUUACUUUGCAUAGAUUAGGUAUACAAGCAUUCCAACCUAUUUUAGUGGAAGGAUGCGCUAUUUGUUUACACCCAUUAGUUUGUAAGGGAUUUAAUGCAGACUUUGCUGGGGAUCAAAAUGACAUUUCAUAUACCUUUAUCUUUAGAGGAACUACUAAGUACUUAUCAUUAAAAGGAACUACAAACAAUCAAUGUAUAAUGCAUAACACUAUAAGUUUAUGUACUCAUAUUACCAUCUUUAAAAAAACUCAAAUAAAGGAAAAAAAUAAAUUGACAAUAAUCACAGCAUUGGAAAAAAUUAAAAAAAAUUCAGAGAUGCAUCGCUUUAAUCAAUUUGCUAAUAUUUACAUCUUAGCUUUGCCAUCAUUAGAAGCCCUAAGAGAUUCUUUACAUCGUAUGCACAAAAAGUCAAGUAUUAAUGGCCUACCUUUCUCUACAUUUUAAAGUCCAAUUUUGCAAACACUCUCCUAACGAGGUUCUUUGAGUUCCCAAUAGAUUUGGUAGUGCCUUUACUUGAUCGGUCUCAUUUAUAUGUCAAAACAUGAUUAGAGACAAAACUAAAACCAUCACCACUUUCAGUGAAAACUGAAAACAUGGUAAAAUAAAAUCACCAAAAGAACAAGCGCACUGAAACUACAACCAUAACAGUUUUUUUUUUUAAACAAUGGAGUAAAACUAAAAACUAAACAAAAUUGUUGAAACAGUGGUGACCGGUAAGUAGCCCAGAGGUGGGUGUGGCUGCCGGCAAGACCAAGUUAUUAACUUUAAAUUAAGAAAAAGUAAGGUGGUAGUUGUAGGCCAUACAGUUUUAUUUGCUUUCGGUGGUGAAGCUCUGAUUAUUCAAUUCAUAAAUUAAUUGAAAAAAAAAAAGGAACAAAUUUGCAGCAAAGUCAAGAAAGUACAAGGAAAAAGAGAAUAGUAUGGUUAGCCCCACUUCACUUUAAAUUAAGAAAAAUAAAGGUAGUAGUCGUAGGCCUUUGCGCCUCCACUACAUAGUGGACUUUCUUUUAAGUGUUGACUGAUGAUUCCAUUCAUAAAUGAAUUGAGAAACGAAAUCACUUGAAACUUGCAAUAAAGUGAAUAAAGUAGAAGAAAAAGAAUAUUGAUAUAUCAACUUAUCACCAUUUUUAUGAUUAUUAUUUCUUUAGAUAUAAGUCUUCUAAACAAUAUAAUCUUUAUUAUAAAUAUGACAUUACAAAUUCAAUAAAUAAAAGUAAACUUGAUAUUAAAAGUUUUAUUUUACUUUUAUCAAUCAACCCAUUUACUCUAUUUCCUAAAUUUUAGAUUUUAUUUUAUGAUAUAUAUAGUCAAAAUUCAAAAAUAACAUAAAAUUUCAUGGAAUCUAGUUUUUCCAGAUUAGCAACCAUUUAUACUAUUCCUAGCUCAGGAAAUUGGUUCUUCAUUUACAAGUUGAGUCUCAAAAUCAAAGUCCUCCACCUAAUGUAUAUUAUGUUGAUGUGAUAUGUCUCUAAAUUAUUGAGUGGAAAUUUUAUCAUGGAUUCAAUCAUUUUCAAUGCUACAAAAUGACAUAAUAGCAAAACCAAAAACUUAUCCUUAAAACAAAACCAAAACCUUAACUCAAAUAUUACAUAUGAAAUAAAUAAUUAAAACAUAAGGUGUGAAAUCAGGUUAUGAGAAAUAAGAAGAGCAUAAUGAAGAAAACUGUCUCAAAAUUUAUAUUAUACAAGUUAUUAACAAAUCAAAAUUUAUAUAAAUAUAUAAGUUUUAUAUAAUUCCCUGUUGGGUCGAGAAUGCAUUAUUAUCUCUAAUUCCCUAUUAAGUCAAGAAUAGUUCUCAAACACCCUAUUGAGUCAAGAACACAAUGUUAUCUCUAAUUCCCUCUUGGGUCAAGAACAUAUCAUUAGCUCCAAUUCUCAGUUGGGUCAUGAGAGUGUAUUGUUGUGGUAAUACACGUUUUCGAACAUGAAAUCAGCUAAUAAAGGUUAAGGUAUAAAGAUCGUAGUUGCUUGUUUGAAACAUGGUUAAUUAAUGUAGAUACAUUGAGGGUGCUUAUAAAUGAUAAUAAAGAAAAUAUAGUGCAUGAGGGUGGACUAUGAUAACAAAAUGCAUUUGUAAAAUGGUAAUAAUACUAAAUAAAAACAAUAAAUAAUUUACUUAAUAAAAGAUAAAGAUAUCCCAUAAAAGAAUAAGCAAUCAUUCAUUUGGAUGCCAACCAGCUUUGCAAUCAAUCGUAUAAAUUAUUCAUGUAACAAGUGGAGAUAGAUUAGGAUCGUUUAGCUCGAAGGCAUCUAAAGAUUACUGUUCAACUUCAUUUAAGUUAAUUAGUCAUUGUGAAUAAUUAGAUGAGUUUGGCAUGUACAUAGAUUUAAAAUAGAUGUUGGAGUCAUUUGAUGAUGUGGUAUCUAUAAUGUUGAGAAAUUGUAGUCUAGGUAUGUAUAUAUGUAUGUAAUGGUACUUAUAUAGGGUUAAGAUCGUAUGCACUGAUCUUUAUACAAUGUUUAUUACAAGUUUCACGUGUUUUUUGCGUGCCAAGUAAACUAAUUUUGAUGAUUGAAUUUGGAAAGGCUAUUAUUAUGUUGGUGGUCAUAUUGUUGGAUGUGUUUUGACAAGCAUAAAUGGUGUUUGGGACAUGAAUUUUGAGUCCUAUAAGUCUUGAAAAUGAAUUGGUAUAUGUUAUCAAAUCAGGUGAAAUCAGGUGAUUUUAGGGAUUGUUCCAACAAACUUAUUUUGAUAUAAGAGAUCAGAUGUAUCGGUACAACUAAGUCAAUCUCCAAAAUUGAACGAUAACAGGAACUUGUAGCGAUACAACUAGGUCAAUCAAUGUCUCCUCCCUUGUUUUAAGUCAUUUUGAUCCUUGGACACCCUGACUUGGUCCUAAACAACUUUGGUCACCUAGAACUCAUAUUAAAAUGUUCUAAAUGAAUUUAAAUGACUUAUAAACAUUUUUAAUCAAGGCAAAUAGUUUUCUAUGAAUGAGUAAAUGUUUGUGUACAAGUUGAUUUUAGAGUAUGUGCUUUUCUCUCUUUACCUACAUUUAGAGACAGAUUAGUAAAAAUAAACAAGACAGAGGAUAUAUGCCAUGUCCACUGCAAACUACUUCGUAGCUAUUACAAUGAAGAAUAUUUUGCCUUUCAUCCAACUCAAGCAACAUGCAGCAUAAAUUUUCCCUAUACAUAAACAAAACAUACCAUAAAUCAUUUUGCAUAAGCACUAUCCGUUGGUCGAAUGCUGACCAGUCAAGCCCUACCAACUUUUAAUUUGAGUAUUUUUUAAGUAGAUAUGUUUGAGUUAUUUAUAUUUUAUAUAAUUUUUCUCUAUUACAUAAACAAAACAUACCAUAAAUCAUUUUGCAUAAGCACUAUCCGUUGGUCGAGUGUUGACCAGUCAAGCCCUACCAACUUUUAAUUUGAGUAUUUUUUUAAGUAGAUAUGUUUGAAUUAUUUAUAUUUUAUAUAAUUUAUAUUAUUUAUAUUUAGGCGAGUAUUGAUUCACAUGUAUAAUUUAUAUUUUUUUUACUUGACAAGGAACCUUAAAAAAUUGUUAUAUAUUUUUAAUUUUAAUAUUUUACGAUAUCUUUAUAAAAUAUUUGUUAACCUCUGACCCUACUUAUGAAAUCUAAAAUUUUUAUUGAUAGUGUACCAAAUAUUAUUUCUUUAUAUAUUAUAAAAGUAAAAUUUCAUAAAUUUAAGAAAAUCAAAAUUUUAUAUAAUUUUUAAAAAUUCAUUUUGAAUUUGAAAUUAAAACUUUUAAUAUUUAUUUUAAAAUUUUGAUAUAAUAUUUUUAAUUUUUAUAAUUAACAUUGUAGAGAAAUAAAUCUUAGUAAACGUAUUUUUUGAAUUUCUACUCCAAAAAUGUGUCAAUUUUUUUAAAGAAUUAUUUAAAACUUGAUUCAAUUCGAAAAAAUUGAAAAAGAAGAUAAUUUGAAAUAAUUUGACUAAUUGAUUGGUGUAAGCCUAAGUUUGAAAUAAUAUUUUUUAUUAGCAAAAGUUGUAAAUUUAUUUUAGUUCAUUUUAUUACAAUUUAUUUAUAUAUCUUUAAAUAAAAAUAAACAAUUAAAGAAUAAAAAAAUAAAUCAAUAAAAUAAUUUAUUUUAAUACACACCUUAAUGUUAAUGGUAAUAAUACUAAAUAAAAACAAUAAAUAAUUUACUUAAUAAAAGAUAAAGAUAUCCCAUAAAAGAAUAAGCAAUCAUUCAUUUGGAUGCCAACCAGCUUUGCAAUCAACCAAACUUACACAUCACACUUUUUGUUUCAUGUCUAUCCAAAUAUGAAUGCAAUACCACCCUCUUCACUUCUUCUUUUCUCACUCACUGCCCCUUCUACAUCAUGACUUCACCCCCAAUUUCAAUGACAGGGAUGUGGGAAAUGUUGGCCCAAUCUUUGCCUUUCUCCUUUUUACAACGUUUCUCCAGCAAAGGACAGUUCCUAAUGUAAAAAAAAGAGAGGGAGGGAGGGAGCAUGUUUGGGGGCAUGGAUUGGAGCUUGGGACAACUGUCGAUAAGCAAUCUGGAAAGAGAGGUGAGGUGUUGAAACCCCUUAUACUCCAAACUCUUUAGAUUUGGAAGUUGAGAGAGCCAGAGAGUUUCAAGAGAAGAGGGAAGCAGAUGUUCAUCUGGAAAACACUCCAUCUCUACUUCUGAAAAUGAGAUCUCGAGAUCUGUAAGAGAAGGGAGUGUAUGCAAACUCCAUUCCCUUUUCCUAAUCAAGCUCUCAAUUAGUUUAUCACUGCUUCCGAUUGUAAUUCUUUUUAAUUUGGAGGGCAAACCCUCUUUUGGAACCCUCUCUAUUUCUGGACAUACAAGUAUUUUCAAAUCCUCAAGGGAUGGAAAGACAGAGUGCAUUUGCUCUGGCAAUGACUUUAAACUAGGGCAACCCAAAAGCGUAAGCCGGGUCAAAUUGGUUACAGCUAAUCCAUCUUCAAUUUGAAAAGAUUUCAAAUUUUGGCACCACUAUAUUUCCAAAGAAUUGAGACAUGUUAGAUGCUGGUGGUGAGAGCCCUCUAAAGCAGCACUAAAAAACUUCAAGUCUUCACAUCCAGAAAUUUCAACAUGCUUUAGCAUAGGAAACGGUCCUAAUGAGAAAGAUUCCAGUUGAUCACACUUUGUACCUUUUAUCUUCAGAGAUUCAAGGGAUGUAUACAAGAAGAUUUUGGAAUGAUUAAAAGCUUUGCACUGCUCGAUCCUCAGUUUUUUCAGUGUAAUAGACACACUAUCCUCAGGAAGGGAUUUGAUAUUAGAACAACCAGAGAUAAUUAACUCGUCGAGAUGAGUGCAGUGUUUCAACAUCUGUUCCAAUAUGGAAUCAUUCAUACUCGAACCUUUGAUGCCCAACUUUCGAAGCCCACAAGGCAAUGGCUCCAAUUGCAGUGCAUCGCAUCUUUCUAACUCAAGUUCACAAAUGCCUGGUGUCCUUGGGAGAAAACAUUCAAGCUUCUCACAAUUUGCAAUCACCAAUUUCUUUAAAGAGGGGAGGUGUUUGGGUAUUGACUUGAUUAGCUUUGGACAAUCCCUGAUGCGUAGCUCUUGCAGAAGGGAGAAAGCUUCAUCACUCCUACACAACCAUUCUUCCCACCCAGCCAUAUUCUCAAACACUAGGAUUUCAAGAGAUCCAAAUGGUUUAGUCGAAGCUUGUCCAUUACUAUAGAACUCCUCGCCAACUAUUACAACUUUCCUGAACCCAGAAAUGGAGAGAGAUUUCAAAGAUGAUAAUUGGCCAAGCGGAGGCAAAGAUAUGCAAAAUUUACAAUCUUGCAACUCCAAAGAUAUCAUAUUUGAGAAGGACAAAUGCCCCACCCAUUCUGGAAAUCUCCUGCCUUUGUAACUUCCGAUAACUAGAUGCUUCAAGUUUGUAUUAGGCUCCAAUUGUUCCAAUACUUCUCUAUCAUGCUUUGAGUCACCAGCAAUAUCAUAAUAUUCAUCCCAUGUCAACUUCAACUCCUUAAGAUUAACCUUAUCCUUCAAAUUGGCAUCUUUGGCAUCCCUGGCAUUUACAACAUUUUUCAGUCUUGAAAUGGCAAGUCUUCCCCGUAAGUGCUUGAGCUUUCCCAACUCAUUAAUGCUUGAGCCAGUUUGAUCACCUAUAACAAAAUCUGUUAAGAUUCGAAUAUCUUUCAACUUACCCAUCCCUUCUGGCAUCCUAGUUAACUUUGUUCCCCUAAUAUCAAGAUAAAGCAUGUUGAUCAAUCUCCCCAUGUCUCUCGGCAACUCAACAAGGUCACUGCAUACAUGCAAUGUCAAUGCUUGCAAAUUAUACACCGUACACAGAGAAUUUGGCAACCUUGUGAUUGAAGUUUUUGAGAGAUUCAAAUUUCGUAGAUGCUUCAAGUUACUAAUUUCUUUUGGCAAUUCUUUGAUAUUUGUAUACCCAGCCAAAGAAAGCACUCGUAAGCUUGAUUUCAUCAACAAAUCAUGCAUUAGCACAUUGCUAACACUACAAUAGGAAGAAGACUUCACAGUUAGGAAAGCACGCAGACAUUUUGCUUUAGGUAAGCUCUGAAAUUUUUGUCGCACAUCAUAAAAUUCUUGGACAUUGGACAAAUGACGGGUCUUUUCAGUUAUUACACAAGAACCACCACUCCCUUCCAAUCUGCAGAUGAAUUCUCCGGUGACAGAUUUAGCCAAGUCACUAAUUAGAUCAUGCAUGACAAAACAAGAUUUCUCUCCUUUUGAUUGUUGAAAAAAGGACCUCAAUCUCAAAUCUUUGAAGUACUCGUUACCCAGUUCUUCUGGAUUUCCAUUAUCUUUCGAAAGCUGUAAAAGUCCUUCAGCCAUCCAUAAUUGAAUAAGUUCUUCCUUUUCGAAUUCGUAAUCUUUAGGAAAAAUUGAACAAUAAGCAAAACAUCGCUUUAAAUGUGAAGGAAGAUAAUGAUAACUUAAUGCUAGCGCUGGAAGAAUAUUACUUGCAGUAUUUGGUAUGUCCCAAAAAUUGCUAUGCAAGAUUUUGUUCCAUUCAUCAGCGUCUAGUUUACAGCGAAGGAGACCUCCAAGUGUUUUUGCAGCCAAAGGAAGGCCGUUACACCUUUUCACGAUUGCUUCACCAAUUGCCUUGAGAUCCGGAUGCGUACUUGGGGUUGUACCAACGAACGCAUGCUUUGCGAAUAACGUCCAACAAUCAUCAUUAGAUAAGGUCUUCAGAGGAUAAGUUGGAAUAGUCCUCAUAAUGUCGGCAACANNNNNNNNNNNNNNNNNNNNNNNNNNNNNNNNNNNNNNNNNNNNNNNNNNNNNNNNNNNNNNNNNNNNNNNNNNNNNNNNNNNNNNNNNNNNNNNNNNNNUUACAAUCGAAUCACGAGUUCACGGUCAAAUUUGAAAGGAAUGCUGAGCUGCUCCCACACAGCAUAGUUUUCAUUCCAAACAUCAUCCAUAAUGAUUAGAUAUUUCUUUCCCAACAGCUGCUCUUUGAGUUUAAGUUGAAACUGAUUUAAGUUCUGGUUUCCAUCACAGCUACAUUUGGUUUCUUCAAGAAUGGUUUUGGUUACCUUGAGAGCAUCAAAUUUCUCUGAAACACACACCCAUGCUUUGGGGUGAAACCAUUUAUCCACUCUGGGGUCAUUGUAGAUCAAUUGGGCAAGGGUGGUUUUUCCAAGCCCGCCCAUACCCACAAUGGGAAUCACAUCUACCUGAUUUUUAGGCAGAUUUUGAGGAUCCAACAACUUCAUUAUUUCUUCUUUUUCAUCAUCUCUACCACAAACAUCAGACUCGUCCACCAAAGAAGUUGCAGGCGUUCUUUGAAAUGCCUUUUCUCCUUCAGAGUUUUCUUUCAGACCCAGAAUCUGUUUUUGGUUCAGUAGGUUGUCUAGUCUCCCAAGGAUCUCCUCUAGCUUUGACUGCGCCCCAUCUUUGAAAGGAUUCAAAGAAGAGAAAAAGCUACUAACCUGCUUCAUAUUAGUAGUUUGAUAUUCUGAUUCAAUCUUGUUCCGAAGAGCUUCAGUAGAGAUCUCGUCCAGGAGGUCCUCGGCAUCAUAAACAGCAUCUUUGAGCUCAUCGGUCCAACUUUUGACAUUUGGGUUGGCAAUCUGCUUAUUUUCAGCAUCAUCCAACACUGCUUUCACCGACAUCAAGGUUGGCUUGAGUUUGUUCAGCAGCACAGCUUCAAGUUUCUUUCCUUUGAUAAGCCUCAGAACAUCGGCAGAAACAAUCCUAUCAAGCAGCACCUCAAUGGAAGCAGAGAGAAAAGCUUCACCCACCAAAGCCAUGUUUUUUUGUGGGGUUUUUUGGUAAAGAAAG